GUGGGGAAUAUUGGACAAUGGGCGCAAGCCUGAUCCAGCCAUGCCGCGUGAGUGAUGAAGGCCUUAGGGUUGUAAAGCUCUUUCACCGGUGAAGAUAAUGACGGUAACCGGAGAAGAAGCCCCGGCUAACUUCGUGCCAGCAGCCGCGGUAAUACGAAGGGGGCUAGCGUUGUUCGGAAUUACUGGGCGUAAAGCGCACGUAGGCUGAUAUUUAAGUCAGGGGUGAAAUCCCGGGGCUCAACCCCGGAACUGCCUUUGAUACUGGGUGUCUGGAGUAUGGAAGAGGUAAGUGGAAUUCCGAGUGUAGAGGUGAAAUUCGUAGAUAUUCGGAGGAACACCAGUGGCGAAGGCGGCUCACUGGCUCGAUACUGACGCUGAGGUGCGAAAGCGUGGGGAGCAAACAGGAUUAGAAACCCGAGUAGUCC
rnacentral:rRNA from 1 species